rnacentral:rRNA from 1 species
AUGGGCAUCUCAGGUGCUGUGGAGUGGUGGGAGGAGUGGCAGCUGCGCAUCCUCGUCCUCGCCAGCCUCUUCCUCCAGUGGAUCCUGUUUAUCUCAUCUACCCUGCGUAAGCUUGCUCUUCCUUCCUGGUUCAGGUCCUUAAUCUGGCUAACGUACCUAGGCAGCGAUGCUCUAGCCAUAUACGCCCUGGCUACCCUCUUUAGCCGCCAGCGGAAGCAGGAUUAUGGUUCUGCAAACAGCGAUAGCAUCCUCGAGGUGGUUUGGGCGCCCGUUCUCCUGGUCCACCUUGGUGGACAGGACGGCAUAACCGCCUACAACAUCGAGGACAACGAGCUGUGGACUCGGCAUGUCCUCACUGCUGUGUCCCAAAUCACCGUAGCCAUCUAUGUGUUUUGCAAAUCAUGGCCUGGUGGCGACAAGAGGUUAUUGCAGGCGUCAAUCUUGUUCUUCGUCCUGGGGAUACUCAAAUGCAUAGAGAAGCCCUGGGCUCUCAAGAGCGCUAGCUUCAGUAGCCUAGUCAGCUUAGCCGACCCUUAUCUCAAUCAUCGAAGGAUGGCGAGAAGGGCAGCAAUCAAAGCUGCUCGACCUCCUUGGUUGGUGCGGUAUCAGCAAAGGCUGAACUCCCUCUUCCCGGAGGCGACGAUCAAGGCUGAUUCGCUUUCGAGGAUGGUAAGCAGGAUAGGCAAGGACAUUUUGCUUGAAGACUAUGUGCAAAAAGCAAGGGCUUUUGUCCUGGCCGACUGUCGUUCUCAAGCCAGAGUAGAAGGUGGCGGAAUUGACCAUCAGCACAGCCAUGUUCCUCUAGCGCAAGGAGAAGCCAAUGAAGUGGACCUUGAGGGCAACCAUCAUCGUCAAGCCCAAGGAAAGGACAAUGAGGCUGACGGUGAGCCUGACCAUGUUCCUCAAUCACAAGAAGAACAUGGCGAAGCUGACCUUGAGCUCAACCAUGUUCCUCGAGCACAAAAAGAAGGUGGCGUGGCUGACCCGCCCAACCAUGUUCCUGAAGCCCAGGGAGAAGGCGAUAGAGUAAACCGCCUAAUCCAAUUAGGGAGAUUGGACCUUGACACCCGUAAGUUAUUUGUAGACCUUGCAUCAUCGAAUUCUGAUCGGCUAACUGUCCUAGAAUUCUUCCUGGCGCAUGAAGCAUAUGCUUCUUUGCAAGGAGAGCUAUUCAAGAUGUUUGAUCUUCUCUACACAAAAGCGAAGAUGAUAACCAUGUUUGCAGAAACACCCACAACAGACGGCAUUACAUCAAUGAGUUUUUUUUCUGGCUGCGUACGUUUAGCAGCUAUAUUUCUGCCAUUAGCAGCCAUUGGCCUCUUCCACAAGAGUCGCAGAGACGCUUAUAACAUUAACGAUGUCCAGGUUACAUAUACAUUGUUCUGUUGUACUGCUGUGCUGGAGUAUAUUUCCAUGUCCACUGUAAUGUUCGUGUCUGCGCUGAUGGAUGCGAUAAUCCCGUCCGGUAUGGUUGCCCAAUAUAGCCUCGUAGGUUUCUUAAUCCGCAACAAAAGACACAGCAAGAAAAUGUGCAUCCUUAGUUCCCUCAAUUGCAAGGAUUUCCUUGACCAGCGUUUGUGCACGAAGUCAUGUUCCUCAUCUUCCAGAAUUACAAAGUUGGUUCUUCAGCAUGUGAAAGGUUGGUGGAAGGAACACAUAAUAGAUGCUGCCAGUUACAGGAGGUUCAGUGAUCACAGGGGGCAAUGGACUAUUCAGCGUAAAGAAUGCGACGAAAGCCAGGAAUGGGGGCUAAACAGGUCGUUCGACGAGAGUGUCCUUCUCUGGCACAUCGCAACGGACUUGUGCUUCUACCAAAAGGGCGACACAUCAGCCAGUCACGGAAAUGCCACGGAAUGCCGAGAAAUUUCCAGUUACAUGAUAUACCUACUGUUUGUCAAGCCUGAGAUGCUGUUGCCCGGCGCGAGACGGAGUCUGUUCAAGACUGCUAAUGCUGAACUGGAGGAGUUCCUCAAGGACGACGAGGCAUCAGUGAUGGAGAUCCUCAAGGGAAAAGGGACAUUGCCUGAGGAGACUGAAAAAAGACUUGUGGACAGGAUAGUUGUCAAGUUGCAGCGCACAGAAUGCAGAGAAGAAGUCACAGGAUGCACAGAAUUGCCACCGGAUGCAGAGAAAUAUCCAGCGCUACGGCAAGGUUUGAUUAUCCACGACGCCUGGAAGAUUUCUAAAAUGUUGUUGGCUCUGGGUGAUGAGAAGAAGAUGUGGGAGGUAAUUGAAGGCGUGUGGGUGGAGAUGCUCUGCUUCUCUGCUAGUAGGUGCCGAGGGUUCCUACACGCCAGGAGUUUGGGCACUGGCGGGGAGCUGCUCACAUACAUCUGGCUCCUGCUGUCACACAUGGGGAUGGAGACCUUGCCGGAGAGGGUGCAGAGGAGGGACCUUUCAAGUGGAGGAGGAAACACCGACACCACUCCAUCAACUUCCCAGAUACCUGGGAGCGAAGAUGCACGACCCUUGAAACGCCAGAGGCCUCAUGAAGCUGCUGGUGCUGGCGCAUCUACCUCUCGACCUGAAGAAAUACAACCAGCUGAAUAG